UACGUAGGUGGCAAGCGUUGUCCGGAUUUAUUGGGCGUAAUGGCGCGCAGGCGGUCCGUUAAGUCCGAGGUGAAAUCUCCCGGCUCAACUGGGAGGGGUCUUCGGAUACUGGCGGACUUGAGGAGUGCAGAGGUGAGUGGAAUUCUCGGUGUAGUGGUGAAAUGCGUAGAUAUCUGGAGGAACACCGGUGGCGAAGGCGGCAUCCUGGACCGGCAUUGACGCUGAGGCGCGAAAGCUAGGGGAGCAAACGGG
rnacentral:rRNA from 1 species